rnacentral:sRNA from 2 species
ACUUCCUGAGCCGGAACGAAAAGCUUUUUUUGGAAUGCGUGUUCUGAAGGGCUUUUGGCUUACGGUUGUGAUGUUGUGUUGUUGUGUUUGCAAUUGGUCUGCGAUUCAGACCACGGUAGCAACGCUACCAAUUUUUCACUUCCUGUAC